GGUAGAGGCCUUAGCUUAAUUAAAGCGUCUGAUUUGCAUUCAGGAGAUACAGGUUAAUGUCCUGUUGGUCUUA
rnacentral:tRNA from 1 species